rnacentral:rRNA from 1 species
GAUGAACGCUGGCGGCGUGCUUAACACAUGCAAGUCGAACGGGAAACCUUUUAUUGAAGCUUCGGCAGAUUUAGCUGGUUUCUAGUGGCGGACGGGUGAGUAACGCGUGGGUAACCUGCCUUAUACAGGGGGAUAACAACCAGAAAUGGUUGCUAAUACCGCAUAAGCGCACAGGACCGCAUGGUCCGGUGUGAAAAACUCCGGUGGUAUAAGAUGGACCCGCGUUGGAUUAGCUAGUUGGCAGGGUAACGGCCUACCAAGGCGACGAUCCAUAGCCGGCCUGGGGGGGGGAACGGCACAAUUGGGACUGAGACACGGCCCAGACCCCUACGGGGGGCAGCAGGGGGGAAUAUUGCAAAAUGGGGGAAACCCUAAUGCAGCGUCGCCGGGGGAAGGAAGAAGUAUCUCGGUAUGUAAACUUCUAUCAGCAGGGAAGAUAGGGACGGUACCUGACUAAGAAGCCCCGGCUAACUACGU